UACAGAGGUCUCAAGCGUUGUUCGGAUUCAUUGGGCGUAAAGGGUGCGUAGGUGGCGCCGUAAGUCAGGUGUGAAAUUUCGGAGCUUAACUCCGAAACUGCAUUUGAUACUGCGGUGCUUGAGGACUGGAGAGGAGACGUGGAAUUCACGGUGUAGCAGUGAAAUGCGUAGAUAAUCGUGAGGAAGACCAGUGGCGAAGGCGGGUCUCUGGACAGUUCCGUGACACUGAGGCACGA
rnacentral:rRNA from 1 species